GAGACAAAAUUGACAUUUGUGAGACAAAAUUGACUUUUGUGAGACAAAAUUGACAAAAUGUCGUCACAAAGGUAAAUUUUGUCUCACAAAAGUCAAUUUUGUCUCACAAAAGUC
rnacentral:sRNA from 1 species